AGGAUGAACGCUGGCGGUCUGCUUAACACAUGCAAGUCGAACGGAGUACCUCGGUACUUAGUGGCGGACGGGUGAGUAACGCGUGAGAAUCUGCCCUUAGGUCGGGGACAACCAUUGGAAACGAUGGCUAAUACCGGAUAAGCCGAGAGGUAAAAGAUUAAUUGCCUAGGGAAGAGCUCGCGUCUGAUUAGCUAGUUGGUGAGGUAAAGGCUCACCAAGGCAUCGAUCAGUAGCUGGUCUGAGAGGAUGAUCAGCCACACUGGGACUGAGACACGGCCCAGACUCCUACGGGAGGCAGCAGUGGGGAAUUUUCCGCAAUGGGGGCAACCCUGACGGAGCGACGCCGCGUGUGGGAAGAAGGCCUUCGGGUCGUAAACCACUGUCGAGGGGGACGAUAUUGACGGUACCCCUGGAGGAAGCCCCGGCUAACUACGUGCCAGCAGCCGC
rnacentral:rRNA from 1 species